UGAGGAAUAUUGGUCAAUGGACGCAAGUCUGAACCAGCCAAGUAGCGUGCAGGAUGACGGCCCUCCGGGUUGUAAACUGCUUUUAGUUGGGAAUAAAAGGGGGCUCGUGAGCCCCGUAUUGUAUGUACCAUCAGAAAAAGGACCGGCUAAUUCCGUGCCAGCAGCCGCGGUAAUACGGAAGGUCCGGGCGUUAUCCGGAUUUAUUGGGUUUAAAGGGAGCGUAGGCCGGCUUUUAAGUCAGCUGUGAAAGUCCGCGGCUCAACCGUGGAAUUGCAGUUGAAACUGGAGGCCUUGAGUGCACAC
rnacentral:rRNA from 1 species